ensembl:lncRNA
CAAAUAGGAGCUGUAGCCUCCGGCCUACACCAGAGCCACAGCAAUGCGGGAUCUGAGCCGAGUCUGCAACCUACACCACAUCUCAUAGCAACGCCGGAUCCUUAACCCACUGAGCAAGGCCAGGGAUCGAACCUGCAACCUCAUGGUUCCUGGUCGGAUUUGUUAACCACUGUGCCACGACGGGAACUCGACACUUUUAGAAUAGGUGUUGACACUGUGCUAGCUCGAAGAUACAUCAAUGAAUGACAAAGACAGGCUUCCUGCCCUCCCAGAGCUCAGGGUCAAUAAAAUAAUGUGAUACAAGUUCCCUUUAUGGCUCAGUGGGUUAAGGACUCAACACUGUCUCCAUGAGGAUGUGGGUUCAAACCCUGGCUUCACUCAGUGGGUUAAGGAUCCGGUGUGGCUGCAAGCUGUGGCAUAAGUCAGCCAGCUGUAGCUCAGAUUCGCCCCCUAGCCUGGGAUCUUCCAUAUGCUGCAGGUGUGGCUGUGAUGGGAAAAAAAAAAAAAGAAAAAAAAGUGUGAUAAGCAUUAUGAGGGGAGCAGGAAAGAGAAGAUAUCUAAGCUGGUUGCAGGAGGAUAAGUAAGAGCUGUGGCGAGGGGAAGGGCUAGCAGGAUCGAGUGCUCUGAGUGGAGGGACCAGCACAGGCAAAGGUCUAGAGGAGAGAAAGGAGGUUUAAUCAAAGACCUCAAAAUAGCUCAGCGUGUUCAGACUUUGAAGGAGAACUGUUAGGGAGAGAAAGAAUGUUAGAGAGAAAAGGCGAGCUGUUCCACCUACCUCAGGCAGCCUUCCUCUUGGGGGAAAACUAAAUGUCUCCAUUCCACAAGUAGUUAGGGUUAUGAAGUCCAGGCGGAUGCCUUUAUUUUAACAAAAAUACAUCAUUACCGACCACCCUGUUACAGAACACCGGCUCAGGCAGCCUUCAGGUUCACUCUUAUUCAUUCAAGAUCCUGACUCCCAUUUCACAGAUGGGAUAACCGAGGCUCAGUCUGAACUUUGUCCAAGGUCAUGUAGCUCACUACAUUUGGAAAUUUAGAGUGUUUCUUUACGUCAGUGCUUCUGUUCUAGCAGUUCUUUUCACAUGAGGUAACACAUGUAAAAGCUUUUUUGUAAUAGAGCCAAGUAUACAUGAAGCAUUAUUAUUAGUUUUGCUGGAUUUCUGGCUCUAUCCAGUUUAGCUUGCUGCAUGCAGGGAGCCCAGGAAGAGGCAAUAAUGAAAACCAAAAGGCCUCUCAAAAUUCCCUUGUGUCUAUUCUGGUUCCCUUUCUGGGGUACCUCCAGAUAUCAUCUUCUGCCAAAUAGAGUUUGUUUCUCAGAAGCUGCGAGAUGUGGGAGGUUUAAAAAAAAAAAAAAAAUCAGCAGCAUCAACAACUACAAAAACCCUUGCAGCAGUCUGAACACAAAGAGUUUGAAUUUUUAACAAAGGGCAGGGUAAGACCCAAAGUAAACGCUGACACAUCCUCUCUCCAGCUGUGAACUGGGGGUCUGAGGGCUGCUGCAAAGGUCAUCUGUCUCUGCAUCUUUGGGCAGGAAAUGCAAUUCAAUCCUCUCAGUGACUGAUCGCUCUGUAAGAUUAAUGGAAGCGUCCUCAACACUGGUCUCUGUUCUGACAGCACAAAAAGUGAGUCAAACUUCUCUCCUCCCUUCUGCUAUUACUAAGCAAGGUCAGCUGAUUCCACGUUUUAAAGUUCACAAGUUUUCUCCAGGAGAUUUGCUCCUGGGUAUUCUUUUGCAAGGCGAAACUCUUUUUCUGGCGUGAGAACCAAAGGUGGCACUUGAAGGCCUGGGGACCUUUCUGGGCUUUUCAUCUGUCCCUGCUUCAUCUUUCAAAAUAAAAUCAAUGUAAAGGGCAUGAUCUUCCCUGAAAGGGUUAACUGCCAGCCAGGCUGUCCAGCCUUCAGGAGAUUGGCAACCAAUGACAAUUUAGCAUGAUGAAGUAAUGCUUGCAUUUUGAUUUCCAUUGGUUACCACACAUGUCCAUCAAUCCAGAGAUGCAAGUUUUGAAAGUAUCUUUGAACUUUUAUGACUCUCUUCCUGGUGUUAACCCCUUGAUUAACUCACCUGUUAUUUCCAAGGUUCCUGCCAAUCCUCACACAGGAAGAGAGAGAAGAAUAUGCACAACUAUAGAGGUAAACCUGUCUUCCUAAAGUGACCAAAGCCUGAUACUCAGGCUAUAUGUAAUUCUGCUCUUACUCAGCUCCUUCAACAUGUAGGAACUGAGGAGCAAAACAAAACAAACCCCCAAACAAACAAACAGCAAAAUCUAUGGGAACUACAAUCACUUCAAAACUGUAAGAGUGUGGUCUGUUGUCCCCCCGCCCCAAAAUUUUUUUUUCUUUUUGUCUUUCUAGGGCUGCACCCGUGGCAUAUGGAGCGGCCCUAGAAAAGGCAAAAAGACCCCCCCCCCAAAAAAAAAAAUAAAAUAAAUGGGAUCAUGACAUAUAUGUUACUCUGUGACUUUUGUGUCUUAGCUAAUCUUGAAUUUUUCUGUAUCACAAUAUUCAGCUUCAGUUCAUCCUUAAAUAAUAUUUUAGAACGAGGUACUUCUACAGUUAGUAUAUGGAAAGAACUCCAAGAUCACAUUAAGUGAAAAAGGAAGGGGAAGGACAGUGUGUAUAUUUGUGUGACACAAUAAUAAAAUAAAAUAUAUGUAGCUGUUUGUAAGAGCAUAAACCAGAAAUUUCUGGGAGGAUACCCAAGAGAUUUGCUAAGUUUUCUGGGGAUGGGAGCAUGGGGGGAGGGGGGAGAAACUGGGGCUGAGGGAGAAAGAAAGCAAUUUAAAAACAAUUUUUAAAUAGUGGAACAUUUUAUAAAUACAGCAGAAUUUAUAAAAUAUUUAAGGAUGCGUAAAGAAUUGCACUCAGGUGUCUGCCAUCUAGAUUAAGAAACAGAAAAUUACCAGUAUCUCUGAUGGUUCAUAUUCCCUUUGCCAGAGUUGAACUUUUACUUGCGUUUUGUGUUAAUCAUUCCUUUGCAUUUAUUUAUGCUUUAUCACUAUGUACGUAUAACUGAACAAUACUUAUUUGGUUUAGAUUUGCCUGAUUUUGAAUCUUCCAGGCUCAAAAGGCACAAUUAAAAUGAAAUUCAUUUUUGAGUAGGUAAUACAUCUACAUGGUAUAAAAUUCAAAAAGUACUGCAACAUAUACAAUGAAAUUAAACUAUACAGUUCAAAAUCAGGCAGCACUAAUGCAUACAUACGGUAAGAAUUUCACACUGUACCAAAGAAAAAGUUUUCUUCCCUUUUCCCAUUUUAGAAUUAUAUUUCUUUCCAAAGAAAACUCUGUGCAUCUCAAAAAUAUAUAUAGAUAUAAAUAUGUCCCCUUUGGUUUACAUAAAUGGUCAUCAGAAUUUAGUAUUAGUAUUCUGUACCCUGGGUUUUUUUCCCCACCUUUUUUGGUUUUAAUUUAAGGAUAUCAUGAAAUUAUUUUACAUAAGUACAUACAGAGCUAUCUUAUUUACUUAUUUAUUUAUUUUUUUCUGCACUGGUAGCAUAGGGCAGUUCCUGGGUAGGCCAGGGAUCUGAACCAGAGCUGGAUCCUUAACCCGCUGUGCCAUAGUGGGAACUCCUAGAGCAAUCUUAUUUUUUAAUGAUUUGAUAGCAUAUCAUUGGGCAGACAAAUUGUCCACUAAUCAUUUAAUCAGUUCCCCAACUUUCAGGUUAUUUUUAGUCUUCUCCUAUUGCAAACAGGGCUACAAUGGAUCACAUCUUUGUGUAUGAGGCUAAGAUAUAUACCAGGAAGUGGUUAUCCAUCGUCUAAGGCUUCCUGCCCCAUCGCCAAUUAUCAGCCCUUGAGAAGUUUGUCAGAUCCGGGCAGGCAGGACAAUUUCAUAUCCAGUUGGCACCUUCAGAUGUCUACAGUGCCAUGCUCUUGGCAGGCACUCAGAGUAGGUGCUUUAAGGGCUGACAUUCCAGACUUGUACAUGGUACCAGAUGGCCCCUUCCAGAAGACCUCUGCAGAUGUCCCUGGCCUCCUCCCCAUAAGACAAAUUCUGGAAAACACUCCAAGUUUGCACUGUCCAUGAAACUUAAAUUUAUAUGUUAUGGUUAUUUAAAUUCAUACAGUUAUUUCAUAUAUAUAAUAUAUAUUUUACAUAACUUAAAUUUACUUAAAAUUAGGCAGAACUUCUUUGCCUGCCUGGAUGUAUCUCUCACAAGUGUCCUAUCUUAUUUUUUUAUUUUAUUUUUUUGUCUUUUGACCUUUUAGGGCUGCACCUGUGGCAUAUGGAGGUUCUCAGGCUAGGGGUCUAAUUGGAGCUGUGGCCAUCUGCCUAUGCCAGAGCCACAGCAAUGUCAGAUCCGAGCCAAGUCUGUGACCUACACCACAGCUCACAGCAAUGCCGGAUCCUUAACCCACUGAGCGAGGCCAGGGAUCAAACCUGAAACCUCAUGGUUCCUAGUAGGAUUUGUUCCUGCUGCGCCAUGAUGGGAACUCCACAAGUGUCGUAUGUUAAUAGAUCUAUUUUAAAAAAGACGAAUAAAUUUACUUUGAAAUUCGAUAUUCAUUUCUUUAAUCCCAUGACCCACAUUUCAAAUGCUUAAUAGCCGCAUGUUUAUACUAGAUUGCACAGACAGAACAGUUCCACCAUCCUGUUCUAAAGGACAGCCCUGCAGGGAGGCAUAGUGGUAAAGCCUGUGGGCUCUAAAAGCCCUGGGUUCAAAUCCUGUCUUUGCUAUUUCAUAGCCCUAAAAGGUGGGCAAGUUACUUGACCCCUCUCUUUUUGUUUGUUUGUUUUGUAUUUUUAGGGCCGCCGUCCUGAGGUAUAUGGAGAUUCCCAGGCUAGGGGUCUAAUCAGAGCUAUAGCUGCUGGCCUACACCACAGCCACAGCAACUCGGGAUCUGAGCCGCCGCGUCUGCUACCCACACCACAGCUCACGGCAACACAGGAUCCUGAACCCUCUGAGUGAGACCAGGGAUUGAACCCGAAACCUCAUGGUUCCUAGUUGGAUUGUUUCUGCUGCACCAGGACAGGAACUCCUACUUGACCUCUCUUUGAGACUGAGCUAUAAAAGUGGCCAAUUACAGAACCCUCCUCAUAGAACUUUGAUGAGGUUCAGAGAGAGAGCAAAUGUGAGAGGCUUUGCUCAGAGACAAAGUAAGUUCUCAAAAAUCAGGAGCUAGUAUAAUUAUACAUGAAUAUGGCAGCUUCAGUUUCUAACAGCUGGAAAAUCUUGGAUUCUGGGGUAUCAGCCUUUCCUAAAUUCCUUGGGAAGCGGGUGGCUCACCCCCUGCCCAGCCCAGAGGAAGUCUACAAUUGGAGCUAUCUUCUCUGCUCAGUCAACCUUUGAUGAAUGAAGAAAUGAAUGAAUAGGCCAAAACAGCCAGGAUCUGACUGGGCCUUUUUUAAGAAUGAGCAAGAGGGUCCGGGAAGUCAUUAUUGUUAUGUUUCAAAUACAACAGGCCCAGUCUUUUUUUCCUGCAAGAAAACAAAACAAAACAAAACAACCAAACUCUCCUGAGUAGUCACCUUAAACUUCCCUCCCCUCUCUCACCUACCGGCCAUUCUCUGGGACAUUUACCCAAGGAAGGAGCUCAGGGGUCUUGGCCCCUCCUCCUUUGGCCCAAAAUAACCUCCUCCCCCCACUUUGAGCAAAUGCCUGGAAUUCUUUCAACAGGAGGACAAAGCCUUUCAUCUGCCAAUUACUGAUAAAGGGAAAAUGCAAAUAUUGCUGGGGAAGGUGAUCCAUCAAGGGCCCAACAUUUAUGGAGUGACCACUUAGGACUAGGCGGCAGGGUAGGCAUUCUGGGGGCGUCAAAGGGGAACAAACCCCCCCGGCUGGCCCAUUCUUCUCUCUGGUCUGUGGUUUCCUGGCGGUUUGUAAAGGGAGGGGAUUAAAUUAGGUGACUACUCAACCCCUUCCCACUCUGACAGCCCAGGAACUCCCCACUGGGGUGAUAUAUGGACUUAACAGUUUUUACACUAACGUGUCUGCCAUCAGGUCUUUUCCUGACACCAGCUUUUGGGGACACCAUGAGACCACAUGGGGAGACAGAAAAGGGUCUCUGGGAGGAAAGGAGAAUGGAGAUCUAGUGUUUUAUUUCCCAGUUUUGCUUUACUGCCCUUAAUGCAUGACCUUCCAGCCCACUGCAUCCUCCUUUGAAUAUGUUUAUCUCAUUACGUUGGAGCAGCGAAGAUGGUCAACAUCCAAAAAAGGAUGUGAUGGCACAGCCAGGAGGCUCCAGUUUGAGCCCCAGUAACCUCCUUCACAAGCUGUGUGAUUUUGAGUGACUGGCUUUCCCUUUCUGUUUCUUUAUCUGCAAAAUGAGGAAUAACAAGGCUGUGUCCCUUAAAGGGUUCUGGUGAGAAAGUGAGAAGCAAAUAAAACGGUCCCUGGUUCUUGGCACAGGCUGAAGGCAAAACCUUCCUUACUCCCACUAAGCCAAGGUGGGCAAUAUCAGCCUGGAAAAAAUUUUAAUGUUUGUCAGCUCGUGACUUGGAUUAAGACAAACUUCAAAGGGUGGGUUAACACACACACACACACACACACACACACACACACACACACACACAGAAAGACAGGACAGAAAACUUCAAUGUGAGGGGUAAGCUGUCUCUGAAGGUGACCAAUUCUGAGCUGACGGUUCACAUCUGAUCUCUGUUGGGGAAGCCACUUCCUCUUCACAAGUCUGUCUGAUUACUGUGUUGACAUGGGGAGGAUAUGAGGGUUACAGCAAUUAUCCAGGUUCAAAAUUUCUCAGAGCCUCAGUUUCCCAUUUGCAAAAUGAUGUGCUUCAACUAUCCCACAGGAUUCACGAUAGAAGCAAAAUUUAAAGUAUGGGAAGUUUUUCGUGCAAAGUCUGCUCUGAGCAGGUAAAAUGUUCCUUUAUUGUAGCCCCGGGGCCAUGCCACCUCAUCCGGAUCUUACCCCCAAGAGCAGGGCCUAGUUGGGCUAGAAGUUAGGGCCAGCUUUUCUCACAAUCAAAGUCGACCUGACUGUUGUUCUUGACGGACAACACAUUCAGGGUUCCAGUUUUGGGGAACCCGAACCAGCGAACUAGGUUUGUGGGCAGGGAAGCAUAUCCAGAUCUAACGAUACUCCAUAUACGUCCAGAGGGUGCCCAUACCUCUGUCAAGCAGCGCUGUAGGAUUAAUCAAGGGGAGCCCAAAGUUCCCCAUGCCCCAUCCCAGCGCCUUGCACCUUUCCACCGACUUUUCUCCUAUAAACAGCCAAUAAGGGCUUACCCUUCGCAUGUCUGCCAGCUGCGUUAGGAGGCGCCAGAUCCGAUUCUCUCGGUAGUUCACUCCUGAGCAUCUAUUUCCUCCUCUUGGCGAGCGCAGGGACCUUUAAAAAAUGUCCAACUUCUGCUCCAGGGCUUGUCGCCUAGUAAAGGUCUCCACAGACGCGGGCAGAAUGAAUGAAUGAAAGGCAAUGUCUUCCGGUCAGCUCGGGUCUGAAAAGGCUCUGCUCUGGUUGUAUUUCUGUACCUGUGUGUAUGUGGAUCCUUAUCAUUGAGUCCUGGAGUUUAACAGUUGUGCAGUCCGUACAGGUAUGGAGCUGCGCUAAUUUCUUCCUGAGCCCCCAAAUGCCUCCUCCAUCGAGCAGGUCCGCUUAUGGGGGCCUGGAGAAGACCCCCCAAAAAGUGGCAGCAAAGAAAAAAAAUUAUAUAUACACAAAAUGCUUUCAGUUUGGGUCGGCCACGUAGGUAACGGGGUGGGGUGAAAUGAAGGAAGAGGGUUAACCCGUGGGGGCCAAGGGCAAUGGGGGAAGGGAUUGAGGUGGGAGGUCGUUUUUGGGGGUGCCAGACCCUGGAGGCUUUCACGCCAGCAAGCUCGGCUUGCAUUUCCGCGCCUCCCGCUGAGGCCAGCCGUGCAAAUCUGCACCUCCCUCCCUACCCCCUCCUCUCUCCCUCCCUCCCUGCCCCCCCAUC